UCGUCUGCUACCAAGACGUUUACACUGCGACGUUUCGCACACACCGAUUUCGCAGUUUAGUACGGACCCAAAGACUAAAAUGCGAAACAGGGUCCCAACUUUUGGGUCCGUUUCGCACAGCUGUUUCGCAUUUUAGGCGUUUCGCGUUUCGCGUUUCGCUUUCGCAUUUUAGGGACGCCCCGAAAGUUCGUCUGCGAGUUAGCUUAGAAUUCACGACGGCCAUCGGCCAACUGCUCGGGAGCAGGAUGGAGACAUUUGACUGACUCACCAUUUUGAGUUUAAUUUUUGGCUGUUGGUGUCUUGGUGAUGUGUGGUGGUUUCUUGGUGAUGGUGAUGAGAAGAUGAUGUGAUUAUAUAGUGAAGAGAAUAUUGCCCAAGAAAUUGUUCGAUAUGUAAUAACGGGAACGGGAAACCCAGGAACUGAAGGAUCAAGCCCACGAUUUCCCCUCUACCUCUCUGCUAUGCUGACUCAUGGCGCCAUUGUUGCUCAAGUGACUCGUACAGUCGUACUCUUGCUAAUGGCCUAAUGUCAGGCUGACUUUUCAGCAAAGAGUGGCAGAGAAGAAACUAGAAUCCAAUCAGCUGUAAUGUACUAGACUUGUCUGAUGCUGUGAUUUGAGCAAGGAAAAACUUGUUGAGUCACUUGAGUGAGGGUUUGUAGUUUGGAGGAUAGUGAGCUUGGAUAACGGUGGUUGCAGAGGAAUUUUGUUUUUCAAAAAACCGACUUUCCUUCAAAUGGUUCGAAAUAGAAGAUUAAUUCAUUCACCGAAGAAACGAGUCAAAUGACUCAAAUGUUAAUUGCAACGUCAACCUGCAGGAGGAAGGGCCAGUUUACAUAUCUUUCAUAAUCGAAGGUCACGGAGAUCAUUACGUAAAACGUGUCAUGCAGUGGUGUAGAGGUUGGGUGAGAACGGGAUGUGUUACAUAACCAUUUGGUAUUCAUUUUGAUAUUGGUUGUUGCUGACCCAUCCCCAGCAACGCCCACCUGCAAAAGGAAAGGCCAGUUUGCAUGUGUUUCACUUGAAGGUCACAAAAAAACGUGUCAUGCAGUGGUGUAGAGGUUGGGUGAGAACGACACGUGUUGCUUCAUUAUCAAGCAGGUACUAUAGCCGCAAGGCUCAAGAGGUGAGGGUGAGGAAAAAUCGUAUAAAAGGAGAGAGAAAAGGCGAAGGGAAAUCAGUCGAGUGAGCAUCUCCGACACGGCAACAACUGCAGCACACUUUUUUCAACUACCUUCUUCAUCGCAUAAACGGUUCGCAAUCAUAGUUAGCCAUGGCGUUGUGUUGCUGUUGGGUGUUAGCACGAGUGUUAGUGUGAGCACGAAAGAAAAGGAGACAGCAAAAUUUUGUCGAGCGUAAACUAUGCCGUCGUGCUGCAUUGCUGUUCUUGGUUGUUGUGUCGUUGAUCGCUGGGUCUUACACUACAGCUACUGCACUUGCCCUGAAGUAUUAUUCUUCUUCCCCGAGCUAGACUACUAAUAAAGCGCCUGAAUACUACACCGAUGCUCCAAAGUACUACUCUGCUCUCAGCUACACCGAUUCUCCAGCUUAUUACAACACUAAAGUGGUCGAAUACUACACAGAAGUGCCCCAGUACGAUAGAAAGCAGUCGAGUGUUCAUCUCCGACACCCGACACAGCAACAGCUGCAGCGCAAUAUUUGUCACCAACUGUAUUCUUCGUCGUAAUACCGAUUCGUUAACUUACUAUGGCGCCGUGCUGUUUUUGGGAGUUGUGUCGUUGAUGGCUGGGUCGACCACUGGUGUACCGAUGUCUCCUGGUUAUGGUGAGUACCAAACCGUAACGACGCCGCCUUACUACAUAACCAAGUCACAACGAAGGCUCCCAAGUACUACACCACCGAGUUGUCUGCCCCAGCCUACUACACCGACGCGUUCAAGUACUACUCUGUUCCAAGCUACUACCAAACUCAGGCUUCUGUUUCCGACAACAACAUACGAAGGCAGCGGAGUCCUACACCACGAAGGCAGCGGAGUCCUACACCACGAAGGCAGCGGAGUCCUACACCACGA
rnacentral:misc_RNA from 1 species